rfam:Gossypium hirsutum cultivar TM-1 chromosome 12, whole genome shotgun sequence
AAUCCAUGAUGAAGAAACCUUUUCGGAAGAUCAUUAAAUCUCUCCCAUGCAUCAUAAAGUAUCUCAAGCUCAAAGUGAGCAAAAGAAGAGAUGUCAUUCCUCAACUU